AGCUCCUCAGAGGCUUUGGAAUUUAGAAAACACAGUGCUGACAAUAAGUUACCAAGUAAAGAUCAUAAUGACUGGGAGCUAUUACAGCACAAGCUGUUCACUCGCAGAAUAAAAUCACUUUAAUGAGAACUAACUGUUGACAAAACGAGUGUAUUGUUUAUUAAUAGGUAAAAUAUUAAAAAAUGCAUGAACAAUUGCGUAAUGGAAGCAAUCCAGGGGGAUCUCAAGUCUCCUCAUCCAGGCCUCUCAGGAGCAUGCCGUGUCUCCCCAACUCACCCCACGCCGGGAAUCCCCACAUACCUCUCCAAUGGCUCUGCCCACUUGCCAAAGCCAGAAGUGCCAGCCGCACCGAUGUCAAGCCCGCUGACCGCCUAUGACACAAGCCCGCAGCCCGCACCGAUGUCAAGCCCAAUGGUCAUCUCCCUCUCCUCAGCCAAAAGGAGGAGUUUGCGGAAGAAGAGACUGUUAGCUCUAGCCCCAGAACUCGCUCCAGUGUCGGCUCCUGCCCCAGAGCUCGCUCCUCCCGGGCUCCUGUUCCCAAGUUGAGCCCGGAAGGGGCUCCUGUUCCUGAGUUGAUCCCACGGAGGGCUCCUGUUCCCGAGUUGAUCCCACGGAGGGCUCUUGUUCCCGAGUUGGGCCCAGGGAGGGGGUGGGGGGGGGGUCAUGGUCGCCCGUUCUGCCAGCUCCGCCAUGGCCUCCCGGGUCUCCAGCUCUGCCAUGGCGUCCUGAGUCUCCUAAUACUUAAUCUGGUACUUCCAGAGCGCCCACCCCCCCUCUCUGUUUGAUGUUAUGUGGUGUGAGGUCACGCCUUCUGGGGGGGGGGCGUCAUUUCUGACUCUGUACCAUUUUUUGUAUGUUCCUGCUCCCUGAUUGUUUGAAUUGUUCCAGGUGUCUCUUUAUUAGUUAUCCUCCUCACCUGUCUGGCCCUCGUUAUCUGCCCUAUUUAGUUCCAGUCUGUUCUUUUCUCCCUGGUCUGAUGUUAUACGUCAACCUGUGUUUGUCUCCCGUGGUCUAUGGAAAUAAGUCAAGUUAUAGCAUUCUCCAGAGUCUCCUCAUCUGUUCCUUCCUGCCUGAGAGUAAAGUGUUCCUAUGGCUCAGUGGUAGAGCAUUGCAUUAUCAGCGCAAAAGGUUGUGGGUUCGAUUCUGAGGGAACACAUGUUAGGUAAAAAAUGUUAGCCUGAAUGCACUGUAAGUCGCUUUGGAUAAAAGUGUCUGCUAAAUGCAUAAAUGUAAACGUGACAAUGGAGCCAGAUUAGUGUGUUUAUUCAGGCAGAAGGCAAUCAGUUGUGAAUGAUGUGAACAGCCACAAAUUGACAUUUGAACUAUGAACAUUUGGAAUGUUUUAAUCGUAGCUUAGAGCAGUCUUAGGUCUAAUUGCCGUCAUCUGGGUGGGGGGCUGUGAAGGGAGGUCACUAUUACAGUUACUUGAUGUUAGUAAAUGCACAAACUGAUAUUUCACCCUUGGAAAAUCUUCAGCAACCAUAAAGACUG
ensembl:lncRNA